rnacentral:rRNA from 1 species
CCUACGGGAGGCAGCAGUGAGGAAUAUUGGUCAAUGGGCGAGAUCCUGAACCAGCGAAGCUGCGUGAGGGAAGACGGCCCUAUGGUUUGUAAACCUCUUUUGUCGGAGAACAAAACCCGGGACGAGUCCCGGACUGCGUUUAUCCGAAGUAAAAGCAUCGGCUAACCCGGGUCCAGCAGCCGCGGUAAUACGGGGGAUGCGAGCGUUAUCCGGAUCUAUUGGGUUUAAGGGGUGCGAAGGCGGUCUGUUAAGUCAGCGGUAAAAUUGCGGGGCUCAACCCCGCCGAGCCGUUGAAACUGGCAGACUUGAGUGGGCGAGAAGUACGCGGAAUGCGCGGUGUAGCAGUGAAAUGCAUAGAUAUCGCGCAGAACUCCGAUUGCGAAGGCAGCGAACCGGCACCAGACUGACGCUGAGGCACGAAAGCGUGGGGAUCGAACAGGAUUAGAUACCCGAGUAGUC